rnacentral:lncRNA from 1 species
AAGAGAUUCCAUGAUCUAAGAAGAAAUACUCAUCAACACUGAAUACGUGGCUUUCCAAGUAAUAUUUUAAAAGGAAAUUAAUCUUGCUUAUUGAUUGAUAUCUGUGUACUCAUAUUUCUAAAAUUGUGUUACCUUUAGUUGAUUAUGGAUCAUUUAACACGCACAAUUGAUGGAAAGAGGUAUUCAAUUAUACUACUCCUCUGUAUAAAUUAUGUAAUUAUCAUUGGUAUUGAACGAUUUCAUGAUUAAUAAGUGGAUUAGGGAAAUUGUGAACCUAGAAUUUAAACUUAUUGAGAGUUGAGAAUACUUUGAAUGCAUUAAUCAAAUGAAU